GGGUUGUGAGGUUAAGCGACUAAGCGUACACGGUGGAUGCCUAGGCAGUCAGAGGCGAUGAAGGGCGUGCUAAUCUGCGAAAAGCGUCGGUAAGCUGAUAUGAAGCGUAAUAACCGACGAUACCCGAAUGGGGAAACCCAGUGCAAUUCGUUGCACUAUUGCAUGGUGAAUACAUAGCCAUGCAAGGCGAACCGGGGGAACUGAAACAUCUAAGUACCCCGAGGAAAAGAAAUCAACCGAGAUUCCCCCAGUAGCGGCGAGCGAACGGGGAAGAGCCCAGAGUCUGAAUCAGUUGGUGUGUUAGUGGAAGCGUCUGGAAAGUCGCACGGUACAGGGUGAUAGUCCCGUACACAAAAACACACUGGCUGUGAACUCGAUGAGUAGGGCGGGACACGUGACAUCCUGUCUGAAUAUGGGGGGACCAUCCUCCAAGGCUAAAUACUCCUGACUGACCGAUAGUGAACCAGUACCGUGAGGGAAAGGCGAAAAGAACCCCGGCGAGGGGAGUGAAAUAGAACCUGAAACCGUGUACGUACAAGCAGUGGGAGCACCUUCGUGGUGUGACUGCGUACCUUUUGUAUAAUGGGUCAGCGACUUAUAUUUUGUAGCAAGGUUAACCGAAUAGGGGAGCCGUAGGGAAACCGAGUCUUAACUGGGCGUCUAGUUGCAAGGUAUAGACCCGAAACCCGGUGAUCUAGCCAUGGGCAGGUUGAAGGUUGGGUAACACUAACUGGAGGACCGAACCGACUAAUGUUGAAAAAUUAGCGGAUGACUUGUGGCUGGGGGUGAAAGGCCAAUCAAACCGGGAGAUAGCUGGUUCUCCCCGAAAGCUAUUUAGGUAGCGCCUCGUGAACUCAUCUUCGGGGGUAGAGCACUGUUUCGGCUAGGGGUCCAUCCCGGAUUACCAAACCGAUGCAAACUCCGAAUACCGAAGAAUGUUAUCACGGGAGACACACGGCGGGUGCUAACGUCCGUCGUGAAGAGGGAAACAACCCAGACCGCCAGCUAAGGUCCCAAAGUCAUGGUUAAGUGGGAAACGAUGUGGGAAGGCAUAGACAGCCAGGAUGUUGGCUUAGAAGCAGCCAUCAUUUAAAGAAAGCGUAAUAGCUCACUGGUCGAGUCGGCCUGCGCGGAAGAUGUAACGGGGCUAAACCAUGCACCGAAGCUGCGGCAGCGA
rnacentral:rRNA from 1 species